rnacentral:rRNA from 1 species
CUCAGAGUGAACGCUGGCGGCAGGCCUAACACAUGCAAGUCGAACGGCAGCACAGUAAGAGCUUGCUCUUAUGGGUGGCGAGUGGCGGACGGGUGAGGAAUACAUCGGAAUCUACUCUUUCGUGGGGGAUAACGUAGGGAAACUUACGCUAAUACCGCAUACGACCUACGGGUGAAAGCGGAGGACCUUCGGGCUUCGCGCGAUUGAAUGAGCCGAUGUCGGAUUAGCUAGUUGGCGGGGUAAAGGCCCACCAAGGCGACGAUCCGUAGCUGGUCUGAGAGGAUGAUCAGCCACACUGGAACUGAGACACGGUCCAGACUCCUACGGGAGGCAGCAGUGGGGAAUAUUGGACAAUGGGCGCAAGCCUGAUCCAGCCAUGCCGCGUGGGUGAAGAAGGCCUUCGGGUUGUAAAGCCCUUUUGUUGGGAAAGAAAAGCAGUCGGUUAAUACCCGAUUGUUCUGACGGUACCCAAAGAAUAAGCACCGGCUAACUUCGUGCCAGCA